GCCGAAGUGGCGGAACUGGCAGACGCGGCGGACUCAAAAUCCGUUGGGGAUAAAACCUCGUGAGGGUUCAACUCCCUCCUUCGGCA
rnacentral:tRNA from 2 species